rnacentral:rRNA from 1 species
UACGUAGGUGGCAAGCGUUGUCCGGAUUUAUUGGGUUUAAAGGGUGCGUAGGCGGUCCUAUAAGUCAGUGCUGAAAUAUCCCGGCUUAACCGGGAGGGUGGCAUUGAUACUGCAGGACUUGAGUAAAGUUGAGGUUGGCGGAAUUGACGGUGUAGCGGUGAAAUGCUUAGAUAUCGUCAAGAACACCUAUUGCGAAGGCAGCUAACUAAGCUUAAACUGACGCUGAGGCACGAAAGUGUGGGGAUCAAAC